ACCCSSYKKRRAMUUAAGCAUAUCAAUAAGCGGAGGAAAAGAAACUAACAAGGAUUCCCCUAGUAACUGCGAGUGAAGCGGGAAAAGCUCAAAUUUAAAAUCUGGUGGCCUCUGGUCAUCCGAGUUGUAAUUUAGAGAAGCGUCUUCCGCGCUGGACCGUGCACAAGUCUCCUGGAAUGGAGCGUCAUAGAGGGUGAGAAUCCCGUCUUUGGCACGGAGCCCGGUGCUUAUGUGAUGCGCUCUCGAAGAGUCGAGUUGUUUGGGAAUGCAGCUCAAAAUGGGUGGUGAACUCCAUCUAAAGCUAAAUAUUGGCGAGAGACCGAUAGCGAACAAGUACCGUGAGGGAAAGAUGAAAAGCACUUUGGAAAGAGAGUGAAACAGUACGUGAAAUUGUUGAAAGGGAAACGCUUGAAGUCAGUCGCGUCGUCCGAGACUCAGCCUCGCCUCGGCUUGGUGUACUUCUCGACCGACGGGUCAGCAUCAAUUUUGCCCCUUGGAUAAUGGCGAGGGAAAUGUGGCACCUUUGCGGGUGCGUUAUAGUCCCUUGUCGCAUGCAAGGGUCGGGAUUGAGGAACUCAGCACGCGCCUUUUGGUGUCGGGGUCUUUGCCCACGAUACGUGCUUAGGAUGUUGGCGUAAUGGCUUUAAACGACCCKYKG
rnacentral:rRNA from 1 species